CUCUCUGGCGCGAUGUCUACCUCCGCACCGCUCACCACUGCCGUUCAAUGGUUUGCAGCGCAGCUGAACAACUCUGACAACGCCGAAGUAAAGCGCCGCUAUCUACGAUGGCAUGCCGAAGACACGGGCGUGCCCUACAGCGAUGAAGACCCGCUCUUUGUUCAGGCAGUUCUCGCCAGUCGCACGGGCUGGACGUUGCCGGAGCUGCUGUGGCGAGCGCGUCUCGUUGCUCUGGACGGGCGCACUCUGUGGGAGUGCUUGGAUGCGCGCAUGAUUGCAGGUCGCGUGCGCGAUGUGGUCGAUCCGUGGAACGAGCAGCUCAGCGUGAAGCUGGCUUGGCACUUUAUGGAGGAGCAACAACGUGGAGAGUUACCGCCCGCGUCUUCAUUGAACGCGCUUCGCGCGGCACUCGAUGAGUACGCAACGGCUACGAUCAAGCCACAGGGCAGCCUGUCCGUGACGGAGUCCAGCGCGGCCCGCUCCGCCCUUAGAGAUGCCGACCACGGCCGAUGCGCCACCCUGACUGAUGCGUGGUCGGACAAGGUCGCCUUUAUCCCGAUGGAGGCAGGCAACGAUUACAGCGAGGGGUCUCUGCGCUGCGCCGCCCCCGUCCCCAGCCGCGGCACGCUGCUUCAAGUGCCUCGCUCUGAGAUGUUCUUUAUCGGUUCUCUGCUCCAGUACUGCUCCUUGGGCCGCGCCAUCGCUGCCGAGCCGUCUCUGCGCGGCCUCCUGGCAAACGAGGAGGCCAUGCUCGUUCUCUGCCUCGUCUACGAGCGUUUUGUUGAGGGCGUGGAGCGCUCACACUGGAGGCGGCUGCUUACACAUUGCCCGGGGCGGUACCCCACCAUACCCAUCGCUUGGGAGCUGCGCGAUCUGGCAGAACUCGAUGGACUCGACAUGGUCGACGACGUCCUCGCCAAGCGCAGUCAGAUGCAGGCUUUUGUCGAUCAGCUUCAGAACUCUCUCCUUCCGCUCUUCCACCGCGCGCUCUCGAAGCUGUACGGUGCGUCGGCAGCAGCCCCGUCGCUGGCUGACAUGUCGGCGGCCUUCGUCUGGGAGCACCUUGUGUGGGCCCAGUCGACCUUCGACUCGCGCGCCUUCAACCUUAACGUGGACGGCGCCGUCGUCAUGGCACUGGUGCCCUUGGCAGACAUGGUGAAUCACGCCAACCACACCGACGUGCUUGUUCGCAAGGUGGAGCCGAACGGGGGCCCUUUUACUAUGCAGGUAGGCGCUGCGUUGACGGCGGCGGAUGUGGGGCGCGAGCUGUGGAUGAGCUACGGCCCACUGCAGAACUGGGAGCUGCUUCAGCACUACGGCUUUCUGCUGGGGCCCGACAACGUGCACGACAAGCUGCCCUUUCCACUCGCCGUUCCCGCAGGGCCCAAUGAGCCGCAGGGCGAGAGCGACGCCACAGACACGUCAGCACCGCUUUCGCGUGAGGGGGGCACCGAGAGCAGCUGGGAUGCGCGGCGCCUGGCGUUGAUGCGUCGCUACGCGUUGUGCUUGCCGGGUCGCUGCUGGAUUCCACACGACGGCGUGCCACCCGCUGCUUUGCUGGCGCUUCUCCGCGUACAGCUCGCACAGGCAGACGAGUUCGAUAUGAUGGAGGGUCGCCGCUACGGCCCUUUUGAACCACUGUCGCCGGUGACGGAGGCCGCCGUCGUGUCGGUGGUGAAGAGCACCGUGCAGUGCGUCAUGGAGUCUUUUCCCACAACGCUUGCGGAGGACGAGGAGACUCUGGCGGAGGUGCAUGGUGACGAACCCACGAAAAACCACAUGCUAUGCUUGCAGCUUCGUGUAGGCCUCAAGCGCAUUGCCAGCCGGUGUCUGGAGUGGUGCGCGCGCCACUCGUAAGUCAUGUGCCAGCGCGCACGCCCCCCCCCCCCCCCCCCCCCCCAACCCACACACCCACACACAAACACCGUCGACACCUCACGUAGCGCCUGCGCUCCCUUUGUGUUUUCGGGGAAUGGGCAGGGUGGCGAGGCAACGGUUGGGUGGGUGGGGCCUUGACAGGAGGGGCAGGGCUGCCCCUCAGCGAACACCACUGCACUGGUGCUCCCCCUCCCUCCUCUGACACACGCUCGAAAUCUUUACACCCCACCUCACUUUGGCGCCCGCAGACGUCUUCGUUGAGCGCACAGCCCUUACCGAACGAAAAAGGCGAGGCGGAAUGCGCAGAGCUGCGAGGGGGUGGCUCCAGCGACCGUCACGGCGUCGGCGAUGGAGCAGGGAUGACACUCACCGUACCGCACCACCACCACCCCCUCCUGCUCCUCGACUUGUGGUGCAUACAUUCCCUCUUAGCUGAUGGCACACCUCAAGGGUGAGGGCGUUGUAGUCUCCCCUCUGUCGCAGUGUAUGGGUCGGUGGUGGGCGACUCUCUCCCACCCACUUCGCACACGACGCCCACAUCGCUGAGCCGCUUCCUGAAGCGGCAGACAAUUUCUCGCUUAUCCCCUUUUUUGCCGUUCCACCGUUGCCGCAUCGCCUCCUCUUUCUCUCUCGCUUGCUCCAUCGUUGCGCGUGGGCUCCCCUCGAG
rnacentral:misc_RNA from 1 species